rnacentral:rRNA from 1 species
CCUACGGGUGGCAGCAGUGAGGAAUAUUGGUCAAUGGACGAGAGUCUGAACCAGCCAAGUAGCGUGAAGGAUGACUGCCCUAUGGGUUGUAAACUUCUUUUAUAUGGGAAUAAAAUGUUCCACGUGUGGGAUUUUGUAUGUACCCUAUGAAUAAGGAUCGGCUAACUCCGGGCCAGCAGCCGCGGUAAUACGGAGGAUCCGAUCGUUAUCCGGAUUUAUUGGGUUUAAAGGGAGCGUAGGUGGAUUGUUAAGUCAGUUGUGAAAGUUUGCGGCUCAACCGUAAAAUUGCAGUUGAAACUGGCAGUCUUGAGUACAGUAGAGGUGGGCGGAAUUCGUGGUGUAGCGGUGAAAUGCUUAGAUAUCACGAAGAACUCCGAUUGCGAAGGCAGUUCACUGGACUGCAACUGACACUGAGGCUCGAAAGUGUGGGUAUCAAACAGGAUUAGAUACCCGAGUAGUC